GAGGAUGUAGCUCAGUUGGUAGAAUGUUUGCCUGGCAUGCACAACGCCCUGGGUUCAAACCCUAGCACCACCA
rnacentral:tRNA from 1 species